GGGAAAGAAGCAUUGUGGUAAUGUGGUUAGCUUGAAACUAAUUGAGGGAGGUUCGAUUCCUUCUUUUCUCG
rnacentral:tRNA from 1 species